GUNGUAACAAGGUUUCCGUAGGUGAACCUGCGGAAGGAUCAUUG
rnacentral:rRNA from 1 species